AAGUCGUAACAAGGUAACCGUAGGUGAACCUGCGGUUGGAUCAUUAAAAAAAAUUGAAGCUUCAACCCUUUCAAGGGUAGAAGCGUCAGUGCUCCUCUAACAAGGAGCUUGACUACUCCAAUUUUGUGAACUUGCAACCAAAAAAUGUUUUGAUAGUGGUGAAAGAUUUGGGCAUUACUAGCCCAAGUUUUUCCCUUCUUGAAAAAAUUGUUAACCCUGAAGAAAUAACUUGUCUUUACCGUUUUUUAUAAAUAAAAAUUAAUAAACAACUUUUGACAACGGAUCUCUAGGCUCUC
rnacentral:misc_RNA from 1 species